GAGCUCUACACCUUUGGGAUUGGAUAAUCCAAGUGAAAAAAACCCUACUCCAGGGAUGAAAGAUGAAGCCAACGAGGCCCAAAGUGGCACAUGUGGACAGAAGGAGCACCACGUGAUCCCACACCUGCGAUCUGGGGGGCUGCCCUUGACCAGCCCGUCAUCCAGAUAGGGGAAGAUCUGGACCCCCCCGGUGCCUGAGGGCUUUGCUGUCAAACUGGAGGUCCUGCAAGGAGCUCUGCGCCUCACUGAACAGCCCAGAGAGCAGGAGCCACAACACCCUUCUCAUGGACACCGCGAAGGCCAUGGACCGCGUGUCUGUGUCCGCCGUACCGUAUCAGCCACUGCCUGUAGGGUUGCCCUGGCCGCUGCUAUACCCUCCUCCACCAGUGCUUUGAACUCCUUCCUCUCACGCUCCUGGAGGAAGACCUCGAACUUGGGCAAAGAGCCCCACAGGUUGAACUCAUACCGGCCCAGGAGAGCCUGAU